UUUUUCUGGAUGGAGAUUGUUCUCCCCUUGAGCUGUCGCUGGAAGGGGUCAUUGGAAGGGAAACAACAACCCUGAUGGAAACUAAUGACUGUAUCUUUUCCAUUUCCCAUGAAAGCAAGAAAUGGCUGCUGUCCAGUCAACUUUGGGAGGAAAACUGCAACGUUUUGAAGAAGAAAAAUAAAAGGUUGAAAGGAUAUAGAGAUGAAGUAGCGAGAGGAAGCCGGUAAUAAAGUUCAGCUCCUCUGCUCCCAAACAUGGAAUGGAUUAUUCUGGAGAAAAUUAAUGAAAAUGUUGGAUGGAGGGGAACUUGAAGCAGAUGCAUAUCUUUCCCUGCUCAAAGACCUAAAGGUCCUUCAAAACUCAAAUUGUUUUUAACCAAAAGAAUUCAUAGGAGGAUUGAGUAAGAGUGUUGUCUUCAAUUUUUUUUUCCCAUGCGAAUAAUAAGCAACAGCUGGGACUGUUUUGAUACCACCCUGUGGUAUCACUUAGUCUUCUUUUUUUAAUAAUGAAGCCACCUCUGCUCAUCAUGUUUGGUAGGAGAAGCACUCAGCCCUUUGUGAUGGAGAAGUUUGGAAAGCACAGCUCACCUUUGUCAGGGAUGAAAACGGGUUAGCACAAGAGCAAGCUGCCCCCACUUGGCACUGAGCUGCCAGGGCAUUGCCUUCACUGAUGGUUAGGGCAUGGAAGGAUUUGUGCAAUACAGCAAUGCCGUCUGUGUGUGUAAAAGCUGGGAUCUCAAUAGAAUUGUCAAAAUUGAUGAUGUGUCCUCAAACAUGAGGAGCUUUUCCUCUUUAUAGUCAAGGAUACAAAUACCCUAACAAAAGCAAUUGAGAAUAGCUCAGAUAAAUUUAUUUGUCUUACACAGACCCCCUAAUGUUUGAUGUGAGAAGCACUAAGUAGUUAAACACCUCAGUGCUCUCACCUCAGGCUUUGGGACUAACCAUAGCUCAAUCAAGCAUACGGUAGGAAACCAUGAUGCAGAUGUUGUAUUGCUGCUGCAAAUUUAAUGUUUAAUGAUACUCAGUGGGUAUAUGAUAGUCUUGCUUGGUUAUAUCAUAAUAAAUUACAAGUAACAUUACAAAAUUGCUUCUGCCUUCUGAAUUACUGAGAGAAAUUGGUUAGUAAAUUGCUGAGUACCGUACUUCUAGCUAAUUAUCAUUAAGUGUGUAUGCAUAUGUAUGCACAUACACACACAAGGCCUUUUUAUCAGAACUCAAUAUGAAACCAUCUGAGGAAAACCUGCUAGCUUCCUAUAUGGCGUAGUACAGAGUGACUCAACUGAAUGCACUACAAAAUAGUGAAGGUAGCUAUGCCUAUCAGGAAUGCUUUGUUGUAUGUAGUAUGCCUUUGGUUCUGUUUCCUAGUGGGAAUCUCACUUUAUAAAAUGAACUUUGGAUGUCUUUAAUGAAGUUCACUG
ensembl:lncRNA